rnacentral:tRNA from 1 species
GACGCCGUGGCGGGGGACGAGGCCGUAGGUCGGCUUCAGACCGACCACUCCGUUCAGCGCGGCCGGCACCC